AUGAGUUCGUGUCGGGUCCGAGUGAGGUUCUUAAAGGAACCAGAGGUGGAGACCGUAGAGGAUCUCACCUAUGUUGAGCAGCUAGUACGGACUGCAGACACACAAGUCAGAAAGUGUGGAAACAAGGAAAUCCCGAUGGUGAAAGCCCCUUAGAAUCACCUUAAGAUGAAAAGUUCACCGGGGAGACCGAGAGUUUAUACUCCAGCAAUGACCGUGUCUCUCUUUUAGAAGAGAGGUUUUUAGGUUUUGCUUGCUUGUUGCUUGCUUGCUUAUGUAUGUUAGAUGCUAUGUUUGAACAUUCGAGGACGAAUGUUCUUAAAGGGGGGAAGAAUGUAAUACCCGGCUAGAUUCCGGCAUCGGAAUCCCUACCUUCCGGCGGAAUCUCCGUUGGAAUAUGGAAUUUUGAUGAUGCUAGAGUCUUCUAGAG
rnacentral:lncRNA from 1 species